rnacentral:lncRNA from 1 species
UUUUCGCGGUCGGCCGCGUGGCUGGAAGUCAUGGCUGCUCCCGUUGGUGUUGAGCACGGCGAGCAGCCUCAGGCCUUUAGUGAUGAUGGUGCAGUCAGCCUCAAUUUCCGAAGCCGGAAAAGGAUCCUCUAGUAGCCACAGUGUGGCAGCUGCUCUGAACCAGGACCUGGACCCGGACCCAAAGUGCCAUGUCUUCAAUGUUAGCUCCCAGUGAUGCCAGAUGGGAUCAGCACAGCCCUGCCUCUGCUGCUAAUUGUUCCUCUAAAGUAAUCGCCAUGCGUUCUUCGGGCUUCACCUUUAAAGGAAUGAAGCGACUGAGAUUAUUCUGGAAAACCUUUUGGCAGUUAGUGAAAUUAGAGUACAACUAAGAACAUUUUCAGACCUCCACUGUGGAUGACUGGGGUAUAAUCUCACAAAUCGAUGGGACUGCAGGGAUUGUAAACUGAAAUGAACAUGAUUAUACUCUGUUGGAAGAGCCUAAGAGGAAACUGAUGCCAUGAGUUUCAGAGAGUAAUGCUUAACCCCAGUUACACAGGAUGCCGUCUUAUGUUUUCUCUUUUUUAGUUACCCACUACAUUGAUUUUGUGAUCUGCUAAUGGGUUGCCACCCACAACCAUUGCUUUAGCACUUUUACUUCAAAUCAAUGAAGGAUUGAUAAAAGUUCUCCUGGUGUCUCCGCAGAGUGGCUUCCAGGAACAGAUCUUUGCAUAGAAUAUCAGUGGUUUCCUUUUUUGUUUCAAAUAGUGGUCAGAAAAUACCCAGUGUUGACUCACCAAGGCAAUCAGCUUCCUUUUUCCCUUUUUUUUUUUUACAUUUUAUAUUUUUGCUUUAUUUUAUUUUAUUUUGUUUAUUUUUUGAGACGGAGUUCCACUCUGUCGCCAGGCUGGAGUGAAGUGGUACAAUCUUGGCUCACUGCAGCCUCCACCUCCCAGGUUCAAGCAGUUCUCCUGGCUCAGCCUCCCGAGUGCUGGGACUACAGGCGCGUACCUUCUUUAGUAGAGACUGGGUUUCACCAUGUUGGCCAGGAUGGUCUCUAUCUCCUGACCUCAUGAUCUGCCCGCCUCAGCCCCCCAAAGUGCUGGGAUUACAGGUGUGAGCCAUCACGCCCAGCCUUUUUUUAUUUAUUUAUUUUAAUUUAAAUGUAAAUCUUUUUCAUUUUUUGGGGAGUUGUUUUUUUUUUUUUUUUUUUUUUUUUUUUGAGACAGUCUUGCUCUGUCACCCAGGCUGGGAGUGCAGUGGCAUGAUCUCUGCAACCUCUACCUCCCAGGUUCAAGCAAUUCUUGUGCCUCAGCCUCCCAACUAACUGGGACUACAGGUGCAUGCCACCACACCUGGCUAAUUUUUUAUGUUUUAGUAGAGACAAGAUUUCAACCAUGUUGCCCAGGUUGGUCUCAAACUCCUGAGCUCAGGCAAUCCACCUGCCUUGGCCUCCCAAAGUGAUAGGAUUACAGGUGUGAGCCACCACACCCAGCUAUUUUUUCUUUUGUUUUUUAAUUUUAAACUUGGGGGGUCUCAAUUUGUUACCCUGGCUGGUCUCGAACUCCCGGACUUAAGCGAUCCUCUGGCUCCAAGCCCACUACCAGUCUCAGGUUUCUUUACUAAAAGAUCACUACCUUUUUUUCUCUUAUCUGCUGCCAUGUGAGACGUGGCUUUCAUUUCACCUUCCGCCAUGAUUGUGAGGCCUUCCCUGCCACGUAGAACUGUAAGUCCAAUAAACCUCUUUUGUAAAUUAAAAAAAAAAAGAUCACUAUAUAAGAUACUAGGAUGGAUUGUGACUGUUGAGGAGUACUUACAUAUCCUACAUUUGACUACAUUCUUUCCAAACCAAGUAUUCUGUCCAAAGGAACAUACUGCUAUCAUGGAGACCAAGGAGGGACUGUUUGAGGUUGCCAAGGUGAAGUGAGCUGAGAGGCUUUGUCCUUGUGCCAGCAACUCUGAAAUCUCUCUUAAUUCCUGCUGUCCAGGCAGCAGAAUGCCAUGGUUUCCCCAAGUAGGUAGCUGCUUUAGCAAUUAAAGCCCAAAUGUCUGUUCUGUUGAUCAGAGGUCUCUGAAUUUCUGAAGUGGUGUUUCGUUUCUGGUGACUGAGUUAAUCCCCAUCCCUCUUGUAAAGUGUGCUAAUAGAAUCCACCUUUGAAAGCUACAGAACCAGACCGUGCCCUAAAUUGACCAACAUAAUUGAUGUGCCUCAGGAAGUCCCUUGCCAGCUGUCCCUGUGAAGACCCCCCUCCUCCCCGCCAGCUGCUGCCUUGCACACUGAAGCAUCUCAGACAGUGCAAAGCCAUGUAGUCCUCAAGACAGUAAAUCCCAGGGCUUGGUUAAGUGCUGUGUGAUAACUUGUUUGGAUGAGAUUUAACUUAAAACCACUUACAAUAAAAUUGGGAAACUAC